GGAGGGGCGGGGCCGGGCGCCGCGCCAGACUCUGCCCCCGCCCUAGGUCCCACGCAGGAUCUUGCCGGUUGGCGGGGAGCGGGGACGGGCGCUCGUUGGGUGCGGGCCUGGAUUUUCCGGUUCUGAGUUCUUUUACACCCAGUUUACCUCCGGGCUCAAUGUUGCAGGUUUGUAACGAAGUCAGGUGAACUUUGCUGGGUUCGCCGCGCACAGUGGCUUCACCUCGGGCAGUAGCAGGCAGGCCCUUUCCUGCUCGCUGCCCCCACCGCACGUCCAAAGACUGGAAGUUUUGGGCGUCCACACCUCCGUUUCCUCUCUAUAUUAUGGAACUGGCCCAGUGGAGGGCAGAAAUGUUUAAUACGCUCUAUCCUUGUGAUCUGACUACUUUUAUCUUCCUGAGACCUCACCCAAGGGCGUUACCGGACUCAGACUUGCCAUGUCUUCACCCCCUCCCUUGGAAGGUCAAUACCUACCCUGCCUAAUCCCAGAGCACUUCGGAGGAAGACUCUUGGCAGAUUUGUAUUUCGUACUUCUCACAUUCCUAAAACAAAAUGUUCCACUCUGGUGCAGAUUUGAACAAAACCCACGUGCACACCGGAUAAUUUGUGAUUCAAAGGCAAGGUUAAGGAAAAACAAAACAAAACAACAUGGUCCUGAAAAGAAGAGACAGGAGAGGAGCUAAUGACCUUGGGAAUGCAGGCUGCUUUCCUGGUUUUAAAAACAAAGCAAGACCAAGAAAGGAACCUUGAAAAAAAAAAAAAAAGGUGGUGGAGAAA